ensembl:snRNA U6 U6 spliceosomal RNA
GUAUUCUCUUUGGCAGCACAAAUAUUAAAACUGGAAUGAUACAGAGAUUAGCAUGGCCCUAGCGGAAAAAUAACAUGCAAAUUCAUGAACUGUUCCGUAAUUUA